GCCGCACCGGGGCUGCCACGGGGUCUUCAACAUGGUUGGCAUUGCCACAGCUACCUUCCUGCAUGCGGCUCAGUGCAACGUAUCCUAGAUUACUUCAUUCUUUCAGUGACUACUGCUAGACAGACGCAUCCUGUUGUGAUAAAGGGGACCAGCUGGAUUUAGGACUGUGGCUUCGCGUUUGUGGACUGUCGAAACCCAGGGACUGAGCAAAGCAGGCAAAGCAAGGAGCAGCUCCCUCCUCCAUCGGGUUUUCGUGAUGAAGGAGGGGCAGAGAGGAGGCAUCCAAGGAGUGAUGCAGGCAUCUGAGUCUCUGUUCACCUCGCAGCUGUGGAAAUCUCCGUGCGGGUGGUGAGGGAGCAUGCUCUGUGCUGCCGUCAGGAGGGAGGAAGAGGCGAGGGCCUGGGUGCCCGAAUGCUUUUCCUGAAAUAUCCAUCAUUUCGGGUUAGGUGCCAGCGCCCUCGGUCCAGGGGCUCUGCCUCUGUCGCACAGGGAGCAGGUGAACAGAGACGGAAAGAUUUGUCACUUGUUUUUUGCUGGUAAUUCCUCUAAACAAUGAAUCUGGUAAUGGGCCGUAGAUUUCCCAGGUGAAAGCCAGCUUGU